CCUACGGGUGGCAGCAGUGAGGAAUAUUGGUCAAUGGGCGUAAGCCUGAACCAGCCAAGUCGCGUGAGGGAUGAAGGUUCUAUGGAUCGUAAACCUCUUUUCUACGGGAAUACAGUGUGGGACGUGUCCUAUUUUGUAUGUACCUUAUGAAUAAGGAUCGGCUAACUCCGUGCCAGCAGCCGCGGUAAUACGGAGGAUCCGAGCGUUAUCCGGAUUUAUUGGGUUUAAAGGGUGCGUAGGCGGCCUUUUAAGUCAGCGGUGAAAGUCUGUGGCUCAACCAUCGAAUUGCCGUUGAAACUGGGGGGCUUGAGUAUGUUUGAGGCAGGCGGAAUGCGUGGUGUAGCGGUGAAAUGCGUAGAUAUCACGCAGAACCCCGAUUGCGAAGGCAGCCUGCCAAGCCAUGACUGACGCUGAUGCACGAAAGCGUGGGGAUCAAACAGGAUUAGAUACCCCUGUAGUC
rnacentral:rRNA from 1 species